GGGUUAUCUUGAGAAUGCUAAAUAUUGCGAGAACCGUGAGAACGAAUGAAAAAAAACAAUCAAAACCAUUUUUUAAUACAAACCUCAUGUAAUUAAAAUACAACAUCAAAAAAAGAAUUCACAACAUCAAAUAAUUCAUUUUUUCUCUCAAAAUUACUCUUAUUAGAUUUUUUACACAUGUGUAAAUGGCAAACUUACACGUGUAAAUUUUCUUUAUUUAUAAAUUCACGUAAAUUUAAACGUCUGAAUUUAAUUUCUAACAUUGUAUUCGAAUAAUAAUAACUGUAAAAAAAAUUGAAUUUGAAAUGUUUUUGACCAAGUUCUUGUGGUUUUUUAUUCGUUCUCACAAUAUUUACCGUUCUCAUUUAAACCUUUCCCUAUAUAUAUCAAAUUCAAUUUUUUUUACACCUGUCAUUGUUAUUCGACUACAAUGUUGGAAAUUAAAUUUACACAUUUAAAUUUACAUGUAUUCGUAAAUAUUGAAAAUUUGCACAUGUGUAAAAUAGCUCUAUCAAUUCCUUUAAACAUGACAGGUUGUAGAAAAAGAAAAAAAAUGUAGAUCACCUGAAGCUCUGGUGGAAGGUAUCGGUAAACAUCAUAAAUUUGAUCCUUAAACCCUCGGCUCAACAUUUCAUCAGAUUCAUCCUGUUGACAUUUAAUAAAAUACGGACAUUAUUUUAAAGAAUGCAUCAUAACAUAAAGUGGCAAAAUUUAGCAGUGCAAGUAUCAAUACUAGUUUUAAAGGUAAAAGAGAUGGAUAACGUACAAGAAUUAGCAAUUUAAUGGCUCUAGUUCUCAAUGUUCUUCUCUUGAUCAUGUCACAGACUCUACCAGGGGUUCCAGAAACGACAUGAACUCCAUUUUCUAAUUUUCUAAUGUCCUCACCGACACUUUUUCCACCAAUGCAUGCAUGGGCUUGUAUGCUGAUGAAAUCACCAAUAGCCAGUAUUUGUUUUUCUGUUUGGGCUGCAAGCUCUCUUGUAGGUGACAAAAUCAAUGCUUGGACCCUGUAAAUGAAGUUGUGCAGUUAUAGAGCUAAGAAAACUAAAAGAACAAGAAAAGGUAAUCAAAUUUCCGAAUAAAAGAAAGAACCACUGUAAAAAAACCUAAACCAGUUAACCAAGCAUGAGCAAACCGUGGUUUUAAAAAAAGCGUGAAUGCGAUCUAAUGCGUUUUGAUCUCAAAAGCCAAUGCGUGAUGCACAAUGUGCAAAGCAUGCAUCAAACAUGUGUGGCGCUCGUUAUCAAAAAAUACUAAAGACAAUAAUUAACUCUUUAUUAUAGAUAGUAUUUUAAACAGUAAACUUUUAAACACUAAAACUUAUAAGAUAUUCUCAUCAUCUCUGGUCAUAUUUGUUCAAUAAUCAAUCAGUGGCCUAAUUUGUUCAAAAACUUGAAACUCAUUGCUCAAUCAGAUUUGAAAAACUCACACCCAUUUCAUUCACGGACCACGGUCCAAUUUAUAUAAAUAGGUAAAUACUAGUCAACUGCAUAUGGCACAACAUCAUUCGCAUUGCGUGAUGUGAUUUCGUCACCACAUCAGGUGAUGCGUGCAUUAUACGCUCCUAAAUCCUAAUGUGCGCACUUUAAACCAAGGAGCAAACUGAAAGCGUUAACAUCAUCUUGUCAUCCAUCACUUAGCUAAUUAUAAAUAAAUAGAUGAAUCCUAAAUAAUAUAAAAUCCUUAAGUCAAAUAACGUAAAAUAAUAUAAAAUUCUUAAGUUAAUUUACGUAAAAGAAGUACAUUAAAACAAUAAAACUACACAUACAGAAAGCUCACUUUCAACUCUACUUGCAAUUUACAGCAAUUUAAAUUCAAAACUAACCCUAAAUCCCAAACCUAC
rnacentral:lncRNA from 1 species